rnacentral:rRNA from 1 species
UACGUAGGGUGCAAGCGUUAAUCGGAAUUACUGGGCGUAAAGCGUGCGCAGGCGGCUUUGCAAGACAGAUGUGAAAUCCCCGGGCUCAACCUGGGGAACUGCAUUUGUGACUGCAAGGCUAGAGUACGGUAGAGGGGGAUGGAAUUCCGCGUGUAGCAGUGAAAUGCGUAGAUAUGCGGAGGAACACCGAUGGCGAAGGCAAUCCCCUGGACCUGUACUGACGCUCAUGCGACGAAAGCGUGGGG